rnacentral:rRNA from 1 species
GCGGCGGACGGGUGAGUAACACGUGGGUAACCUGCCUGUAAGACUGGGAUAACUCCGGGAAACCGGGGCUAAUACCGGAUGGUUGCUAGAACCGCAUGGGGCAAAGAUAAAAGGUGGCUUCGGCUAUCACUUACAGAUGGACCCGCGGCGCAUUAGCUAGUUGGUGAGGUAACGGCUCACCAAGGCGACGAUGCGUAGCCGACCUGAGAGGGUGAUCGGCCACACUGGGACUGAGACACGGCCCAGACUCCUACGGGAGGCAGCAGUAGGGAAUCUUCCGCAAUGGACGAAAGUCUGACGGAGCAACGCCGCGUGAGUGAAGAAGGUUUUCGGAUCGUAAAGCUCUGUUGUUAGGGAAGAACAAGUACCGUUCGAAUAGGGCGGUACCUUGACGGUACCUAACCAGAAAGCCACGGCUAACUACGUGCCAGCAGCCGCGGUAAUACGUAGGUGGCAAGCGUUGUCCGGAAUUAUUGGGCGUAAAGGGCUCGCAGGCGGUUUCUUAAGUCUGAUGUGAAAGCCCCCGGCUCAACCGUGGGAGGGUCAUUGGAAACUGGGGAACUUGAGUGCAGAAGAGGAGAGUGGAAUUCCACGUGUAGCGGUGAAAUGCGUAGANAUUUGGAGGAACACCAGUGGCGAANGCGACUUCUCUGGUCUGUAACUGACACUGANGCAGCGAAAGCGUGGGGAGCNAACAGGAUUAGAUACCCUGGUAGUCCACGCCGUAAACGAUGAGUGCUAAGUGUUAGNNGGGUUUCCGCCCNUUAGUGCUGCAGCUAACGCAUUNAAGCACUCCGNCCUGGGGAGUACGGUCGCAAGACUGA